rnacentral:rRNA from 1 species
CCCAGACUCCUACGGGAGGCAGCAGUGAGGAAUAUUGGUCAAUGGGCUUACGCCUGAACCAGCCAAGUCGCGUGAGGGAAGACUGCCCCAUGGGUUGUAAACCUCUUUUGUCAGGGAGCAAUUGGCGCUACGUGUAGCGUUAUCGAGAGUACCUGAAGAAAAAGCAUCAGCUAACUCCGUGCCAGCAGCCGCGGUAAUACGGAGGAUGCGAGCGUUAUCCGGAUUUAUUGGGUUUAAAGGGUGCGCAGGCGGAGGUGCAAGUCAGCGGUCAAAUUGCGGGGCUCAACCUCGCUCCGCCGUUGAAACUGGCGUUCUUGAGUGGGCGAGAAGUAUGCGGAAUGCGUGGUGUAGCGGUGAAAUGCAUAGAUAUCACGCAGAACUCCGAUUGCGAAGGCAGCAUACCGGCGCCCAACUGACGCUGAAGCACGAAAGCGUGGGUAUCGAACAGGAUUAGAUACCCGAGUAAC